rnacentral:other from 1 species
ACGGUUAUAAAUCAACGUAUUGAUUUAUAAUCAUGGAAAUCCCCUGAGUGAAACAACGAAUUGCUGUGUGUAGUCUUUGCCCAUCUCCCACGAUGGGCUUUUUUUUAA